AAACCAGCACCUCAAGUGGUCAGGAUGAUUAUUGGGCCUAAAGCAUCCGUAGCCUGCUCUGUAAGUUUUCGGUUAAAUCUGUACGCUUAACGUACAGGCUGCCGGAAAUACUGCAGAGCUAGGGAGUGAGAGAGGUAGACGGUACUCGGGAGGAAGUGGUAAAAUGCUUUGAUCUCUCGAUGACCACCUGUGGCGAAGGCGGUCUACCAGAACACGUCCGACGGUGAGGGAUGAAAGCUGGGGGAGCAAACCGGAUUAGAAACCCCAGUAGUCC
rnacentral:rRNA from 1 species